rnacentral:rRNA from 1 species
UACGUAGGGUGCAAGCGUUGUCCGGAAUUAUUGGGCGUAAAGAGCUCGUAGGCGGUCUGUCGCGUCUGCUGUGAAAACCUAGGGCUUAACUCUGGGCGUGCAGUGGGUACGGGCAGGCUAGAGUGCGGUAGGGGGAGACUGGAAUUCCUGGUGUAGCGGUGAAAUGCGCAGAUAUCAGGAGGAACACCGGUGGCGAAGGCGGGUCUCUGGGCCGAUACUGACGUGAGGGAGCGAAAAGCAUGGGGUAG